GCUAGUAAUGGCAGGUCAGCAUACUGCCGUGAAUACGUUCCCGGGCCUUGUACACACCGCCCGUCACACCAUGAGAGUUGGAGAUAACCCGAAGCCUAUGAGCUAACUUUUAGAGGCAGUAGUCGAAGGUAGAAUCAAUGAUUGGGGUGAAGUCGUAACAAGGUACC
rnacentral:rRNA from 1 species